UACAGAGGUCCCGAGCGUUGUUCGGAUUCAUUGGGCGUAAAGGGUGCGUAGGCGGCGGGGCAAGUCUGAUGUGAAAUCCCGGGGCUCAACCCCGGAACUGCAUUGGAUACUGCCUUGCUUGAGUACUGGAGAGGAGACUGGAAUUUACGGUGUAGCAGUGAAAUGCGUAGAUAUCUGGAGGAACACCGGUGGCGAAGGCGGCAUCCCUGGACCGAUACUGACCGCUGAGGAGCGA
rnacentral:rRNA from 1 species